rnacentral:rRNA from 1 species
GAUGAACGCUAGCGGCAGGCUUAAUACAUGCAAGUCGAGGGGUAAGGUCUCUUCGGAGAUACACGACCGGCGAACGGGUGCGUAACGCGUACACAAUCUACCUUUAAGUGAAGAAUAGCCUCGGGAAACUGAGAUUAAUACUUCAUAAUAUAAUUGAUAGGCAUCUAUUAAUUAUUAAAGCUCCGGCGCUUAAAGAUGGGUGUGCGUCCCAUUAGGUAGUUGGUGAGGUAAUGGCUCACCAAGCCGACGAUGGGUAGCGGGCGUGAGAGCGUGAACCGCCACACGGGCACUGAGACACGGGCCCGACUCCUACGGGAGGCAGCAGUAAGGAAUAUUGGGCAAUGGGCGAAAGCCUGACCCAGCCAUGCCGCGUGAAGGAUGAAGGUUCUCUGGAUUGUAAACUUCUUUUAUAAGGGAAGAAACCCUUGGAUUUAUCCGAGGCUGACGGUACCUUAUGAAUAAGCACCGGCUAACUCCG